UACAGAGGUGGCAAGCGUUGUUCGGAAUUACUGGGCGUAAAGCGUGCGCAGGCGGUCUGGUAAGACAGAUGUGAAAUCCCCGGGCUUAACCUGGGAACUGCAUUUGUGACUGGCAGGCUAGAGUAUGGCAGAGGGGGGUAGAAUUCCGCGUGUAGCAGUGAAAUGCGUAGAUAUGCGGAGGAACACCGAUGGCGAAGGCAAUCCCCUGGGCCUGCACUGACGCUCAUGCACGAAAGCGUGGGGAGCAAACAGG
rnacentral:rRNA from 1 species